CUCGCGCCGGCAGGGGAGCACCGUGGGCGGCGCCCGCCUCCCCGCUCCGGCCGCGCUCCGCCCCGUCUCCGCCCUCCGCCCGGCCCUUGGCUUUUGUCACCACCAGCCUCCUCAGACCCUUUCCGGAAUGCCCCAGUUUAGGCCCUAACAUGAAGAAAGAAAAAAGUGUAAAAGGGACACUUACUCAUUAAGACUGAGACAGUUCGAACAAGUGAGUAUGCCUGCAGUAAGCUUCUACUGGUUUCCAGGGUUUGCCACCCUACAGCAUGUAGGUGGAAGUCAUGACAAUUGCCAAUUUUCAACAAACAUCAGUUUCAUAAACAAUCAGUCACUCUAAUGGCUGUGGGAAACGGGAGCUGAAGUGUACUUCGCGAGUCUGCUUGAGAGAAGAGACAGUUGUGAACAAGGCCUGGGACCCACGUGGAAGAUGAAGGUAGAGGGGGAUUGGAAAGCAAUUUCCAAAGUUGUUUCUGCUUGGCAUAAGAAGACCCCUCUCCUGACUUCUAUACCUCCACUGGCAAGAGUUACAAGAAAGCUUGUUACAAGAGUUGUUAACAGGAGUUUCAAGAAUGUGCUUCUGGAGGCGCCUGGGUGGCACAGCGGUUAAGCGUCUGUCUUCAGCUCAGGGCGUGAUCCUGGCGUUAUGGGAUCGAGCCCCACAUCAGGCUCCUCCGCUAUGAGCCUACUUCUUCCUCUCCCAC